AACCUUUGUAGUUCAUAAGCAUGAUGAUUGGGUGCUCACACCACUGUAUGAAAUGUUCCUCCCUUAAAUCUUGCUAUGCUGUGGAUACAUUACUGGUCUGAUG
ensembl:snoRNA